GUAUGCAUCUGGUGGGUGAGGUAACUGUUGCCUCGGGCAGUGUGCCACCGCUUGAGGUGCCGCCACUAGUGGAGGAGGUCUUUUUCCUCGAUUUUUCAUUCCAAACAUCUUUUACUCUUUCUCUUCACUUGAUUUCACCACUUGGCACAAAUCUAAUGGCUCCCAUUUUAUCCUCACUUCCAUUUUUCCACCUUUCGAGAGAGAGAGAGAGAGAGAGAGAGAAAGAGAGUGAUCUCAAAGGAGGAGAGGAUGAGAAGAAGAACGGUGUAGAAGCAAUUAUCAAAGUUUUGAUAAGGAA
rnacentral:lncRNA from 1 species